rnacentral:rRNA from 1 species
UACGAAGGGUGCAAACGUUGCUCGGAAUUAUUGGGCGUAAAGAGCUCGUAGGCGGUUUGUCACGUCUGCUGUGAAAACUGGAGGCUCAACCUCCAGCCUGCAGUGGGUACGGGCAGACUAGAGUGCGGUAGGGGGAGAUUGGAAUUCCUGGUGUAGCGGUGGAAUGCGCAGAUAUCAGGAGGAACACCGAUGGCGAAGGCAGAUCUCUGGGCCGUAACUGACGCUAAGGAGCGAAAGCAUGGGGAGCGAACAGGG